rnacentral:tRNA from 1 species
UGGGGAUGUAGCUCAGUCAUGUAGAGUGCUUGCCUAGCAUGCACAAGGCCCUGGGUUCAAUCCCCAACAUGAA